GUCCAGACUCCUACGGGAGGCAGCAGUGGGGAAUAUUGCACAAUGGGGGAAACCCUGAUGCAGCGACGCCGCGUGAGUGAAGAAGUCUUUCGGUAUGUAAAGCUCUAUCAGCAGGGAAGAUAAUGACGGUACCUGACUAAGAAGCCCCGGCUAACUACGUGCCAGCAGCCGCGGUAAUACGUAGGGGGCGAGCGUUAUCCGGAUUUACUGGGUGUAAAGGGAGCGUAGACGGCGUCGCAAGUCUGAAGUGAAAGCCCGUGGCUCAACCGCGGAACCGCGUUGGAAACUGCGAGGCUGGAGUGCUGGAGAGGUAAGCGGAAUUCCUGGUGUAGCGGUGAAAUGCGUAGAUAUCAGGAGGAACACCGGUGGCGAAGGCGGCUUACUGGACAGUGACUGACGUUGAGGCUCGAAAGCGUGGGGAGCGAACAGGAUUAGAUACCCGCGUAAC
rnacentral:rRNA from 1 species